GGGGCUAACCUAUGUGUUAGCCCUAUUUUAUAUUAUGGUUUAUAUAUCAUAACGGGUUGACACACAGGUCAACUGCUACCACACAUUUUCACAAAUCCAUAGUUUAUUGUAGGGGCAGAUUCUAUAUCUGCCCUUUUAUACCAUUUUUUGCAUUUUUUAUUCUUCUAACUCACUGGCUAAAUAAUCAAAAUAUUCU
rnacentral:sRNA from 1 species